GACAGAGGGUGCAAACGUUGUUCGGAAUUACUGGGCGUAAAGCGCGUGUAGGCGGCUAUGCAAGUCGGGCGUGAAAUCCCACGGCUCAACCGUGGAAGUGCACUCGAAACUGCGUAGCUAGAGUCCCGGAGAGGAAGGUGGAAUACUUGGUGUAGAGGUGAAAUUCGUAGAUAUCGGGAAGAGCACCCGUGGCGAAGGCGGUUCUCUGGGACGGUACUGACGCUGAGACGCGAAAGCGUGGGGAGCGAACAGG
rnacentral:rRNA from 1 species